rnacentral:lncRNA from 1 species
CUUCAUUCGUGACGGAAUCAAAUUCCCUGACGUGAUCCACGCGUUCAAGCCAAACCCAAAAUCAAACAUUCAAGAAUACUGGAGGAUUCUUGAUUUCUGCUCUCACCACCCGGAGAGCUUGCACACCUUCAUGUACUUCUUUGACGACAUCGGUGUUCCGGUCGACUACCGGCACAUGGAAGGAUUUGGUGUCAACACUUUCUCCUUCUUCAACAAAGCUGGUAAGAUGCUGUACGUGAAGUUCCACUGGAAACCCGCUCGUGAAAAAGUGAUGGGUAUGUCCGACGAGGAAGCCAUAAGAAUCGGCGGAACCAACCACAGCCACGCCACCCAAGAUCUGUACGAGUCGAUCAAGGCCGGAAA